rnacentral:ncRNA from 1 species
GAGGAGUAUGAUUGAAAGGCUGAAACUUUGACGGUGGUAUGCAAUUAGGAGUGGAUCCUACGACUUAAUUUGACUUAACAUAAAGAAAUUUACUAAGUUUAGACAUAGUAAAAAUUAACAAGUUGAGAGCUCUCUUUUUUAUGGGUGCAUGAUCGUUUUUUAUUAGUUGAGUGAUUAGUCUGGUUAAUUUUGUUAACAAAUGAAACCUCAUCUUGCUAACUAUAUUUCUCAGCCAGCUUCUUAGGGGUGCUACGACCUUUUAGACCGUGAAAGUUUGAGACAAUAACAAGUUUGUUAUGCCCUUAAAUGUCCUGGAUCGCAUACACUCUACACAUAUGUAUUUAACGAGUUUAUAGCUUAGAUUGAUAAAUUCAAGUGAUCUUUAAAAUUUUAUGAUGAUGAAAUAAAUAAUUACAAUUAUUGGUCUUCAAUGAAAAAAAUUUAGUAAACGCAAAUAUAUGCCAUAAUCUAAUCUCCGACUUGACCCA